rnacentral:piRNA from 1 species
UGAGUUGUGAAUUUUUCUAAAGGAGUGCUG